UACGUAGGAUGCAAGCGUUGUCCGGAAUUAUUGGGCGUAAAGAGCGCGCAGGCGGUCUAUCAAGUCAGAUGUGAAAUAUCCGGGCUUAACCCGGAGGGGUCAUUUGAAACUGGUAGACUAGAGUACAGCAGAGGAUAGCGGAAUUCCCGGUGUAGUGGUGAAAUGCGUAGAGAUCGGGAGGAACACCAGCGGCGAAGGCGGCGAACUGGAUAGGUACUGACACUCAACAACGAAAAGCGUGGGGAGCAAACAGG
rnacentral:rRNA from 1 species